UAGCUCUGGCUUCUCUUAAAUUACACAUAAAUCUUUCACCUUUUAUAAUAGAUUUCUGUGGAGUUGAAUAUCAAUGAGUGUGAUGUAUUUUUGUGAGCUUUGCUCUGGCAAAGCU